CCCUGAUCUGCCUCCUUGUCAGUCUCAGCCAAUCCUAUGGGGAAGCAUUGUUAUUGGAUCAGGCUACCACUUCUGAUGAGGUCAGCAGACUGCUUGUUUUUCUGAGUCUAACAGCAUGCAGAGUUACAGCUUCAGGCUUGAAUACAGUAAGAUUUGUACUAUAUUUAUGGAGGCAUGAGGGGCCCAUGGGGGUAGAUGGUGGUUUUAACACUACAUGUUUGUGUUCCUGACCCUAUAGUGAUCCUUUAAUGAAUUAAUUUGGGGUAAGGUAAAAGAGCGACAUCAUCUUUAAUUACCUAAAUGUAUAGACAAAUAUAAACUAUUAUAAAUACAGUGCCUACAAUAAAUAAGCCGCUUUUUAUGUGUAUUUUGUUCAGUCGCCACGGCCUGGCAGAUAAGGUUAAAAUCAUGGUUUAAAAGCUGAAUUUGACUCCCUCCAACACAUAUGCUUCCAAACAUUAAGCCUGCCACAUUCUCAAAUAAGUGGUAGCUUGGUGGGAUUUGGGGUUACAAGUGAAGGAAACCCUCACCCAAAAAAUAAAGGUUUAACAAAUAAGAGGUCCCUUAUGGUUAAUACCACGCAGGGUAUUAACAAAGUAUCAUCAUUAAAAUACUUCUAGAAUGGAAAUGCAUCGCAGCGAAGGAGAAAUAAAAUGUGUACACAUUUUUUUUAUCACCUCUGCCUUUUAGUGUGUUUUUUUUUUUCACUUUGCGACUGGUCUGUGGGCUAAUUAACAAGCACAGG